CUUAAAUUGAAGAGUUUGAUCAUGGCUCAGAUUGAACGCUGGCGGCAGGCCUAACACAUGCAAGUCGAGCGGAAACGAGUUAUCAGAACCUUCGGGGGACGAUAAC
rnacentral:rRNA from 1 species